rnacentral:rRNA from 1 species
UACGUAGGGACCAAGCGUUGUUCGGAUUUACUGGGCGUAAAGGGCGCGUAGGCGGCAAUUCAAGUCAGCUGUGAAAUCUCCGAGCUUAACUCGGAACGGUCAGCUGAUACUGCUUUGCUAGAGUGCAGAAGGGGCAAUCGGAAUUCUUGGUGUAGCGGUGAAAUGCGUAGAUAUCAAGAGGAACACCUGAGGUGAAGACGGGUUGCUGGGCUGACACUGAUGCUGAGUGCGCGAAAGCUAGGGUAGCAAACGGG